rnacentral:rRNA from 1 species
UACAGAGGUGCCGAGCGUUAGGCGGAAUCACUGGGCUUAAAGCGUGUGUAGGCGGAUCGUUAAGUACCUUGUGAAAUCCCACGGCUCAACCGUGGAACUGCUGGGUAUACUGGCGAUCUUGAGCAGCUUAGGGGCAGACGGAACAAGUGGUGGAGCGGUGAAAUGCGUAGAUAUCACUUGGAACGCCGACGGUGAAAACAGUCUGCUGGGAGCUUGCUGACGCUGAGACACGAAAGCCAGGGGAGCGAACGGG